AGGCGUCAGGCGGAGCUCCGCGAGGCGUCAGGCGGAGCUCCGCGAGGCGUCAGGCGGAGCUCCGCGAGGCGUCAGG
ensembl:miRNA gmo-mir-11197 gmo-mir-11197